rnacentral:rRNA from 1 species
UUUUUUUUUUCCUGCUCAGAUUGAACGCUGGCGGCAGGCUUAACACAUGCAAGUCGAGCGGAGAGAGGUAGCUUGCUACUGAUCUUAGCGGCGGACGGGUGAGUAAUGCUUAGGAAUCUGCCUAUUAGUGGGGGACAACAUUUCGAAAGGAAUGCUAAUACCGCAUACGUCCUACGGGAGAAAGCAGGGGAUCUUCGGACCUUGCGCUAAUAGAUGAGCCUAAGUCGGAUUAGCUAGUUGGUGGGGUAAAGGCCUACCAAGGCGACGAUCUGUAGCGGGUCUGAGAGGAUGAUCCGCCACACUGGGACUGAGACACGGCCCAGACUCCUACGGGAGGCAGCAGUGGGGAAUAUUGGACAAUGGGCGCAAGCCUGAUCCAGCCAUGCCGCGUGUGUGAAGAAGGCCUUAUGGUUGUAAAGCACUUUAAGCGAGGAGGAGGCUACUUUAGAUAAUACCUAGAGAUAGUGGACGUUACUCGCAGAAUAAGCACCGGCUAACUCUGUGCCAGCAGCCGCGGUAAUACAGAGGGUGCAAGCGUUAAUCGGAUUUACUGGGCGUAAAGCGCGCGUAGGCGGCUAAUUAAGUCAAAUGUGAAAUCCCCGAGCUUAACUUGGGAAUUGCAUUCGAUACUGGUUAGCUAGAGUGUGGGAGAGGAUGGUAGAAUUCCAGGUGUAGCGGUGAAAUGCGUAGAGAUCUGGAGGAAUACCGAUGGCGAAGGCAGCCAUCUGGCCUAACACUGACGCUGAGGUGCGAAAGCAUGGGGAGCAAACAGGAUUAGAUACCCUGGUAGUCCAUGCCGUAAACGAUGUCUACUAGCCGUUGGGGCCUUUGAGGCUUUAGUGGCGCAGCUAACGCGAUAAGUAGACCGCCUGGGGAGUACGGUCGCAAGACUAAAACUCAAAUGAAUUGACGGGGGCCCGCACAAGCGGUGGAGCAUGUGGUUUAAUUCGAUGCAACGCGAAGAACCUUACCUGGCCUUGACAUAGUAAGAACUUUCCAGAGAUGGAUUGGUGCCUUCGGGAACUUACAUACAGGUGCUGCAUGGCUGUCGUCAGCUCGUGUCGUGAGAUGUUGGGUUAAGUCCCGCAACGAGCGCAACCCUUUUCCUUAUUUGCCAGCGAGUAAUGUCGGGAACUUUAAGGAUACUGCCAGUGACAAACUGGAGGAAGGCGGGGACGACGUCAAGUCAUCAUGGCCCUUACGGCCAGGGCUACACACGUGCUACAAUGGUCGGUACAAAGGGUUGCUACCUAGCGAUAGGAUGCUAAUCUCAAAAAGCCGAUCGUAGUCCGGAUUGGAGUCUGCAACUCGACUCCAUGAAGUCGGAAUCGCUAGUAAUCGCGGAUCAGAAUGCCGCGGUGAAUACGUUCCCGGGCCUUGUACACACCGCCCGUCACACCAUGGGAGUUUGUUGCACCAGAAGUAGCUAGCCUAACUGCAAAGAGGGCGGUUACCACGGUGUGGCCGAUGACUGGGGUGAAGUCGUACAGG